GAUGAAGAACGUAGCGAAAUGCGAUACUUGGUGUGAAUUGCAGAAUCCCGUGAACCAUCGAGUCUUUGAACGCAAGUUGCGCCCGAAGCCAUUAGGCCGAGGGCACGCCUGCCUGGGCGUCACACGUCGUUGCCCCCCCAUCUACUCCUUCGGGAUUGCGGGGGGCGGAUGAUGGCCUCCCGUGCGCCUCGUCGCGCGGUUGGCAUAAAUGCCAAGUCCUCGGCGACGCACGCCACGACAAUCGGUGGUUGCGAAACCUCGGUUGCCCGUCGUGUGCGGUCGUCGCGCAUCGAGGGCUCGAAAAAAUUGCCGGGCUCUGUAUCGGCUUUCAACGCGACCCCAGGUCAGGCGGGGUUACCCGCUGAAUUUAAGCAUAUCAAUAAGCGGAGGA
rnacentral:misc_RNA from 1 species